rnacentral:rRNA from 1 species
UCCACGCCGUAAACGUUGGGCACUGGGUGUGGGAGGUAUUGACCCCUUCCGUGCCGUAGUUAACGCGAUAAGUGCCCCGCCUGGGGAGUACGGCCGCAAGGCUAAAACUCAAAGGAAUUGACGGGGGCCCGCACAAGCAGCGGAGCGUGUGGUUUAAUUCGAUGCUACGCGAAAAACCUUACCAGGGUUUGACAUGUACGUGGUACCAAACCGAAAGGGGCGGGACCCUUCGG